UACGGAGGGAGCUAGCGUUAUUCGGAAUUACUGGGCGUAAAGUGCACGUAGGCGGCUUUGUAAGUAAGAGGUGAAAGCCUGGUGCUCAACACCAGAACUGCCUUUUAGACUGCAUCGCUUGAAUCCAGGAGAGGUGAGUGGAAUUCCGAGUGUAGAGGUGAAAUUCGUAGAUAUUCGGAAGAACACCAGUGGCGAAGGCGGCUCACUGGACUGGUAUUGACGCUGAGGUGCGAAAGCGUGGGGAGCAAACAGG
rnacentral:rRNA from 1 species